CUAUAAUUUAACUUCUAAUUCCGAUUUUCACCAAAAAAAAACAAGCGAUAAAAAUGAUGUGGAAAACUUUGUACAAUAUUGCAUUCGCAAUGCUUUGCCUACUUUGCAGUUUUGUUAUGUUAACCCAGGCCGCGCCAGUUGGAGUUGGAUGCAAGAACACAUGUUCUGAUGGAUUCAUUCCCGACGAGGCGUGUAUAUGUA